GUUGCUGAGGCAACCAGUCAUAAUGAGCCAGGUUUGUCUGUUGUUAACUGGAGGCAAAUCAAAGGAAAAAUUCAUUUUAUCCUGGGUUCCCCUUUAAAUGGCUCUGCUUCUUUUAAUUAUGCAUAGGAAGGAGGGAGACACAGAUGACACAUCAGCUCUGAAUGAGAUCACCAUGUAAAAUGCAGUUCUGUGCUUUCCAGUCCUUCCUUUGAGAGCUCUCUUCUUAUUGGUUCCUAGAAGACAUAAAAAGGUCUGUACUGAGGGAUUUUGCCAGCCAGGCUCCUGACUAAAGUCCAGCUUAACUGGACUUUAGUCAGGAGAUUGGCUAUAAACAAAUUCAGAGAACAAAAUCUGUUCUAGAGAGCUACAGGAGACAGAAGCAAUAGAUACCUCGUAAAAACAAAGAAAUUCUGAGAUUCUCCCUGCUUCUGAUAAGAGCCACCUGUUCCUGUUGCAGUGCAGGGAUUGUGCUUCAAUCUAUGGAGCCACUGCUUCAGCCUUAAUAUCUGUGAUUUCUUGAUUAGCCUUUGAUUAUGCAUUUUCUGGAAUCAAAUUUUACUUUGGGAUUCAAUACCUGACAGAAACUGGGAAUGUACUGAUCAUAUGCACCAUUGGAGGACCCACUAUGAUAAUUGCUAUGUUACAGAAUAGCCUCAAGCAUCUCAGAUUCUGAAAAUCUCAAGAGACAGAGUCCACAAUCAGUGUGUUUAGGGAAGAUGCCACGGCAUUUCUGAAUGUGAUACCUGUAAGGGGCAAUUGGCAGCGAAGAAUAAUAACGAGCAAUCCGCAGGAAGAAAUGCUGGAUUUCAGAAAGAUAGGCAGGAUACAGACCCAAGAAGUGGGAUAUAUGACCAUCUCCUGAUUACCGUGCAGUGGUUUCCCGUCUGAUGAUUGGAUUCUGGUCUGAGGUAAAUCAAAUGAGACCCUCGAGGAGAGUGAGAAUGUGAUGCAACAAGAAACACAGGAUUUGGAGACAAGACAGGAUUCUGAUCAAGUCUUGUUUAUCCAAGGAAAUAAUCCAGCUAAUCAAGCCUGGUGUCUGGGACAAAGAAACAGCCUUUGCCUGAAACAAUUGGUGGUCAACGUGAUCAACUAAAUCAAUAAAAUAUAUGAACUACAAAAGGCUACAUCAGGGUGGAGACAAAAUCCUGGAACAACUCAACAGGUCCCUGAAUUAUUUAAGGGUGAAAUCUAACUCUUCCUUAUAAGCACAAAUGAAGUAAUUUGUGCUGCCAGAAGUAGACAUGUUUUACUGUGGAGAAAAUUGUGUGAAAAGGUCAUCCUGACUCCUUUGCCUGUUGAAUCCACCCAGUGCAAGAUGACGGCACAUGUUUGUUCACCACCUCCGCAAUCAAUGAUAAUGAAUGCCUUAGUUCUAGGGACACUUGGGGUCUAUGUCAACAUAAAACAUUUUGUAGCAUACUGCUCACAAACCCAAUUUAAGAACUCUGAAGCUGGACAUUCUACAAGGUCCAGAGUCCUUUGUGCUUCCAGUAUGAACCAGGAAGCUGUCCCAUUAGUGAGUCACAUUUAGGGUCUAGCUCAAGGAGGGGGAUAUUUGAGGUAAUUUCUAUGGUUAUUUUUUUCAGUUAUCCAAUAUAUCAUAAAAAAUCAAUGAACUUUCCUCUCAUAACAACUGUUCAUUUCAUCCUGGAAUGCAAUCAAGAAUAUCACAGCACACUUUAUCAAUUUAGAAGUUUGUAAGUCCUAUGUCACCAACAAUUACUUGCAACACAAGUCAUCUUAUAAAUAGCCUUCAUUAUUCACAGAGUUGGAGCCUCAAAAUUUAUGUUUUUAUAUUUGAUGUACAAUAUAAUAUUUACAACUAGAAUCUCUUUAUAACCUUAAUUACCUGGUGAUUAUGAUUUAUGUAAUACUCUACUUUAAAAUCCUCAGUGAUUCUUUGUACACUUUGUGAAUAAAUUUUCCACAAUUAAUUCUUAAAACAGACUUGAAUGCCUCUUAGUUAAUAGCAGUUGUGAGACUUGAUCUACUUGUGUCACCCCUGACAGUGGGAGUAGGCUCUGUCCAUGCUAUUGGGCUGGUGCUCUGUAACCUACUCCUCAUAAUGGAUAACCUUAUUCUGCCUAAACACAGGGGUAGGUGUUGGCCUUAUUCUUAUUGUAGAGUGAUAUGUCAUGCUGUUCUGGCAUCCAUAAGAGGCCUGCCCCCAUAUUAUGGGAAUACUGUAGAGGAGUAGAGUAAGAAGUGCUAAGGGGGGAAAUCGGGAGAAGAGAUGGAGGAGCAAUCUGCCGUCAGGUUUUUUAAACAAAAUUUGCACAAAUGAAUUAAUGAAGGAACAAAUACAUAGUUAUAAAGGCCAUUUGCAAGUAAUAAAAAUAAAAAACACAGAUAAUGUAAGGCCCCGCCUUUUCUGUGAAUACCCACACCCGAUCCAAGCGUGCGCUUUCCCGA